CUACGGGAGGCUGCAGUGGGGAAUCUUGCGCAAUGGGCGAAAGCCUGACGCAGCCAUGCCGCGUGAAUGAUGAAGGUCUUAGGAUUGUAAAAUUCUUUCACCGGGGACGAUAAUGACGGUACCCGGGAAAAAACCCCGGCUUACUUUGUGCCCACCAGCGCCGGAAUACGAAGGGGGCCUGCGGUUCCCCGGAAUUACUGGGCGUAAAGGGCGCGUAGGCGGACAUUUAAGUCAGGGGUGAAAUCCCAGAGCUCAACUCUGGAACUGCCUUUGAUACUGGGUGUCUUGAGUGUGAGAGAGGUAUGUGGAACUCCGAGUGUAGAGGUGAAAUUCGUAGAUAUUCGGAAGAACACCAGUGGCGAAGGCGACAUACUGGCUCAUUACUGACGCUGAGGCGCGAAAGCGUGGGGAGCAAACAGGAUUAGAUACCCUUGUAGUC
rnacentral:rRNA from 1 species